CCUACGGGAGGCAGCAGUGAGGAAUAUUGGUCAAUGGGCGCGAGCCUGAACCAGCCAAGUAGCGUGAAGGAUGACUGCCCUACGGGUUGUAAACUUCUUUUAUAAAGGAAUAAAGUGAGGCACGUGUGCCUUUUUGUACGUACUUUAUGAAUAAGGAACGGCUAACUCCGUGCCAGCAGCCGCGGUAAUACGGAGGAUCCGAGCGUUAUCCGGAUUUAUUGGGUUUAAAGGGAGCGUAGAUGGGUUGUUAAGUCAGGUGUGAAAGUUUGGGGCUUAACCGUAAAAUUGCAAUUGAUACUGGCAGGCUUGAGUACAGUUGAGGUAGGCGGAAUUCGUGGUGUAGCGGUGAAAUGCUUAGAUAUCACGAAGAACACCGAUGGCGAAGGCAGCUUACUAAACUGCCACUGACAUUGAGGCUCGAAAGUGUGGGUAUCAAACAGGAUUAGAUACCCGAGUAGUC
rnacentral:rRNA from 1 species